ACCAGAUCUUGAUCUGGCGCUCGGACAGGCAGAGUGCGUGGGCGAUCUCGAUGCGCCGUCGCCGGGUCAGGUUGCUUGUCUGGAGAUGGAGCCACUACAGGCGGGCCUGGGCGCCUGGAGUCGGGCAUGAAAGAAAAUAGCGCCUCAUCGCUCUUAUCUAAGCCCAGAGGUAGACUUCGCUUGAAAAGAUCGAGAAUGGAGGAGGGGAUCGGCACUCACUUGCAGACAUCAACAGUUUCCAGAAAAUUCGGUUCAAUUCCUUCACCACGGACCCACCAACCAAGGAGCUGGCAAAACCCACUAACCAACCAGGAGAACACAGACCCGCCGUUUCCUCUCCCUCGCCGGCCUCGGCGGAGAUUCCAGGCCCUAUAGAAACCAGGACGUCCCUUAGCGCCACCGCCUCACAUGCCAGUGCUGCCGGGAACCCAGCGAUAUCCGCACCAGCGGAGAAGGUUCCAGGCUGCCGGCGGCGGCGCAGAGAGCGGGAAGAGAGGCUCGGAGGAAGCCCCGGGCGUGGCGUGGUCAGGCUCCGAGAGCGGCCGGGAUGCGGCCACACCGGCCUGGUAAACUCGCACCUCUUAGGAUCUUGCUCCCGGACUCAUUCCCUUCCCCACCCCCUAUUUUAAAGUUUUAUUUGGGUCGUCUGUAUCAAUUUAGAACGAGAUAAAUUAAGACAAAGAAAGUAAAAUAAAUCGAAAUAAAAUAUAGGAAUAGCUCUUGGCGAAAAUGUUUGCCGUGCGAGCAGGAAGCCGUGAGCGCCCUAGUUGGAGGCUGCUCUGCGCCGACUAAGAGGCCUCUACUCCCAGGCCUGGCCUCUACGCAACGCCACCCAAGAAGCCAGAGUGAAUUUGGGUGUUCAUUUUCCCUUUCCUUCCGCUCUUCCUUCAUGUGGGGCCUAGCAGCUUGGAUUUCAGCUCCGUCUUUGUGCCUGGGCUGCAGCCCAGAUCCAGAUCCCGCAGCUUGGUUUCCAGGCCUGAAUGAGGACGCGGGUUUGUGAAACUGUGAGGUUUUUGUUUUGUUGUUUUGUGAGCUUGUGUGACUAAGCAUGUGGGCUUCUGAGUGCGUUUACUUGGGGGCAAAUGUGAAUCUGUGUUUAUAAGCCAAUGUGUGAAUGUACGUUGGUAUCAAUGUGUCUGUGAGUGUGAAUGUGUGUUUACUUGUGAGCGUGUGUGAACAUGAAUGCCUA
rnacentral:lncRNA from 1 species